ACUAUGUGAUAAAGGUCUGUUUAUGUUCUAUCUUAAUAGUCAUAGAGUACUUUGUGACAAAGGUCUGUUUAUGUUCCAUCUUAAUAGUCAUAGAAUACUAUGUGAUAAAGGUCUGUUUAUGUUCCAUCUUAAUAGUCAUAGAGUACUAUGUGACAAAGGUCUGUUUAUGUUCUAUCUUAAUUCAAUUGACUGUCUUAUUUGGUUCUGCAGUUUCAUAAGGCAAUUAUACCAUUCGGGGGAGUAUUGUUCUUGAUUGCUAUAGAUUGUACAAAUGAUAUAACCUAUAAACCUGUACAUUGUACAUCAAUAUGGAUUUAAAAUUCACUAAUCAUUGAUUUCUACUUUCGAUAAGGGAGAUAACCAACUUCAAAUUACAAUUUUAGAAGUUAAAAAUUGU
rnacentral:lncRNA from 1 species